UACGUAGGGUGCAAGCGUUAUUCGGAAUUACUGGGCGUAAAGCGUGCGCAGGCGGUUAUGCAAGACAGAUGUGAAAUCCCCGGGCUCAACCUGGGAACUGCAUUUGUGACUGCAUGGCUAGAGUACGGUAGAGGGGGAUGGAAUUCCGCGUGUAGCAGUGAAAUGCGUAGAUAUGCGGAGGAACACCGAUGGCGAAGGCAAUCCCCUGGACCUGUACUGACGCUCAUGCACGAAAGCGUGGGGAGCAAACAGG
rnacentral:rRNA from 1 species